rnacentral:rRNA from 1 species
GGGCCCGCACAAGCGGUGGAGCAUGUGGUUUAAUUCGAUGCAACGCGAAGAACCUUACCUACCCUUGACAUCCAGAGAAGUUGGCAGAGAUGCCUUCGUGCCUUCGGGAACUCUGAGACAGGUGCUGCAUGGCUGUCGUCAGCUCGUGUUGUGAAAUGUUGGGUUAAGUCCCGUAACGAGCGCAACCCUUGUCCUUAUUUGCCAGCGAGUAAAGUCGGGAACUCUAAGGAGACUGCCGGUGACAAACCGGAGGAAGGUGGGGACGACGUCAAGUCAUCAUGGCCCUUACGGGUAGGGCUACACACGUGCUACAAUGGCCGGUACAAAGGGUUGCGAGACCGCGAGGUGGAGCGAAUCCCAGAAAGCCGGCCUCAGUCCGGAUCGGAGUCUGCAACUCGACUCCGUGAAGUCGGAAUCGCUAGUAAUCG